UACGUAGGUGACAAGCGUUGUCCGGAUUUACUGGGCGUAAAGAGCGCGCAGGCGGUCGAUCAAGUCGAGUGUGAAAGCCCCCGGCUCAACUGGGGAGGGUCAUUCGAUACUGAUCGACUCGAAGGCAGGAGAGGGUAGUGGAAUUCCCGGUGUAGUGGUGAAAUGCGUAGAUAUUGGGAGGAACACCAGUGGCGAAGGCGGCUCGCUGGACCGGUUCUGACGCUGAUGCGCGAAAGCGUGGGGAGCAAACGGGG
rnacentral:rRNA from 1 species